CUUGUCGGAAGAGAAGCCCAAGGUAAGCCCGGAGGGUGUGAAGACAAAGUGAACAUAUCAACCUGAAAGUGGCGGGGCAGGAUUGCUCAGUGGUACAGUUCAAGAUCAAGAGGCACACCCCACUGAGCAAGCUCAUGAAGGCCUACUGUGAGAGGCAGGGCUUGUGAAUGAGGCAGAUUCGAUUCCGGUUUGAUGGACAGCCAAUAAAUAAAACAGACACUCCAGCCCAGCUGGAGAUGGAGGAUGGGGACAUCAUUGAAGUAUUCCAGCAGCAGACAGG
rnacentral:lncRNA from 1 species